ensembl:misc_RNA Metazoa_SRP Metazoan signal recognition particle RNA
GCCGGGCAUGGUGGUGGGUGCCUGUAAUCCCAGCUACUCGGGAGGCUGAGGUAGGAGAAUCGCUUGAGCCCAGGAGGUUGCAGUGAGCCGAGAUCAUGCCACUGCACUCCAACCUGGGCAACAGAGUAAGACUCUGUCUCAA